AAUUGAUGUAACUCCUAAAAUAUUGAUUUUAGGAGAAAUUUAUAAGAACACAAAAUUUUAGCUUAGGAAAUUUCCUACAAAAAAUGAUAUUGUUGU